rnacentral:tRNA from 1 species
GGCUCGUUGGUCUAGGGGUAUGGUUCUCGCUUUGGGUGCGCGGGGUCUCGGGUUCAAAUCCCGGACGAGCCC